GUGUGUGUGUCGGCAGCCUCUCACAGACACGGCCAUACCGCAUCUUCAUCGCCACAGCAGUAGUAAUAUUUAGAGGAAAUCAAUCUACUAAUGGCCCCCUGGGACAGGUACAUACAUACCUAGCUACUGUAUCGGACAUGUUGAUUGCUCUGGUGUGACAGUUGUCCCAUCAACCCAAGUACCUGCUUCAUAAAGGGAACGGUUCAUAAAUAUUUCACAUGUGUGAGCCAUCUGAUUGGCUGACGAGUCGGAUACGGUGCAAGUAACAGUCCAUAACUUACCACCUACGCACUUUUUGGCAGUCCAUUCACAAACACUUACAUCAAAAGAAUUUGCCGUUCCACUUCGUGACAAUUUCCAACGCUUUCCUUCGAGUCUAUGGUACACCCGGUUUCGCGGCCCGAGUUUCCUAUAGAGUAGCCCCCGGAGAAUGCCUUUUGGUAACUUUCAGCAGCUGAAGGAGAGGAUUAUCUACCCUGCUAAAGACGCUACCCAAAUUUCAAAGUCAUCACUUGGAAGAAAUUUCUGUUAAGCUGUCAAGAGCAUCUAAGAAGUGAUUGGUGCUAGACUUAUUAUCGUAGGAUUUUCGUAUAAAAUGGCAAGUCUAAAGAGCCAUACAGAAGAAAUGAAAAGGUUAGC